AUUGAACGCUGGCGGCGGGCCUAACACAUGCAAGUCGAGCGAGCGGCGGACGGGUGAGUAAGGUAUGGGGAUCUGCCCGAUAGAGGGGGCUAACUACUGGAAACGGUGGCUAAUACCGCAUACUAUCGGAUGAACCCAUAGGGGAUUAGCUAGUAGGUGGGGUAAAGGCUCACCUAGGCGACGAUCUCUAGCUGGUCUGAGAGGAUGAUCAGCCACACUGGGACUGAGACACGGCCCAGACUCCUACGGGAGGCAGCAGUGGGGAAUAUUGGACAAUGGGCGAAAGCCUGAUGCAGCCAUGCCGCGUGAAUGAAGAAGGCCUUAGGGUUGUAAAGUACUGUCGGCGGGGAGGCGGUACCCGCAGAAGAAGCACCGGCUAACUCCGUGCCAGCAGCCGCGGUAAUUC
rnacentral:rRNA from 1 species